AUGAGCCAUUCGCAGUUUCACUAUACCGGCCGUGCGUACUUAGACAUGCAUGGCUUAAUCUUUGAGACAAGCAUAUGCUACUGGCAGGAUCAACCAGGUAGGAGCGCGAGGGAGCCGGGAAGAGGCCGCGCACGCGCGCGCGCACACGCGCCGAGGCGGCGGCGGCGGCGGCGGCGGCGACCUCUCGCGGCACGGGCCGUGCGUGCCCGGGCGCGGGGCGCGCACGGAAGGCGGCGGCGGGCGGCACCCCGAGGCGCGGGGGCGGGGCGAGGACGGGACGGACCCCGCCGCCCGCCCCCGGCCGACGAGGACGCGCGCGCGGCGGCGUGGAGGAGCGGGGGGCGCCCCUCGCGGCGGGCCCGAUUGACGGCCCGUGAGCGGGGCCGGGGCACCCAGGCAGUCGCGUCGACACUGGCCGGCCGGACUGCCCGCACACGCCCCCGCGGGCCGAGAGCCGGACCGAGGCCCGACCCCCCGCCCCCAGGGGUGGCGCGGCGCGCCGGCGGCCGGUCACGACGGCUGGCCGGGACCCGACCCGCGCUGCGACAGACACGCGCGCGCCAGAACGGGGCGCCGCGGGGGACGGUCCCCCGCCCGCACGCAACAUCGCCGUCGCCCGGGCGGCGGCGGCGGACACGGAGGAGGCCACAGCGGCCCCGGGAAGCGAGUCGCGCUCGGAGCGGGGCCCCGGUCGGGCAGCCAAGAACAGGCGACGACGGGGAAGGGCUCGCGAGAAGGCCGACGGCGGCGAAGGCCGAGGCGCCGGAGAGGCGGUGGUGGUGGAGGAAGGGCCGGCCCGCCGAGAGACGCGCUCGGGGCGAAGGAGGGAAGACAGAACCUCCCGAGGCAAGUCGGCCGCCGGAGCACACACGGGGUCUCACCGCCAGGGGCCUCCAGCACCAGGGGCGGUCCCGCAGCGCCCGGAACGGCGACUGGCCCCGUCGCCCCGCGCGCAGCUCACGGGGGCUCGGCCCCACCACCCACCUCCACGGCCAGGGCUCUCCCGCACACGGCGCCGGCGUCCCACGCCGGGCGCCUGGCGCACGGGCGCCACCCAACCGGAGCCGAGGGCACUUCGCCCGGGGCCACCACCGGCUGCGGCUCGGGACGGGAGCGAGCGGAGAGCCAGCCGCUCGCGGCAGGGCGUGACCCUCCCCCGACUCGGAGGGGGGAGGCGCCGGCCGCGGUAGGCAAAGAGCGGCUCUGCCCACGCGCCACGGUGGUGGCGUCCGUGGCUACUACGCGCAGAGGAGGGGCGGCGGCUGGGGGGUCCGGUACCCCAAGGCACCCUCUCGGAUCGCUAGAGAAGGCUUUCUCACCGAGGGCGUGUCGCCCCCGCCCAUCGUCCGCCAUCGGGCCCACCAAGGCGCUUACAGACACCAUGGCCACACAACGCAGGAGGGGUCUGCGGUAGAGACACACCAGCGCAGCGGUCACCUGAGGAGGGCGACGGGAACAGGGAACGACACCGCCACUCGGCCUCGGGCACCUGAGGGACGACCUGGAACACUCCAGGGGCACCGCCAACGGCCGGGGGAGCGCGCUCACGCGCCCAAGAAGGCGCGCGGCACGGCGGCAACACGGCCCGCCCCA
rnacentral:lncRNA from 1 species